CGUGGAUGAUGUGGUUUAAUUCGAUGCAACGCGAAAACCUUACCACCUUUGACAUGUACGGAAGCCUUUAGAGAUAGAGGCGUGCUCGAAAGAGAGCCGUAACACAGGUGCUGCAUGGCUGUCGUCAGCUCGUGUCGUGAGAUGUUGGGUUAAGUCCCGCAACGAGCGCAACCCUUGUCUUUAAUUGCCAUCAUUCAGUUGGGCACUUUAAAGAGACUGCCGGUGUUAAGCCGGAGGAAGGUGGGGAUGACGUCAAGUCCUCAUGGCCUUUAUGCCCAGGGCUACACACGUGCUACAAUGGGUGGUACAAAGAGCAGCCAGCUCGCGAGAGUGAGCAAAUCUCAAAAAGCCGCUCUCAGUUCGGAUUGCAGGCUGCAACUCGCCUGCAUGAAGCCGGAAUCGCUAGUAAUCGCGGAUCAGCAUGCCGCGGUCGAAUACGUUCCGGGCCUU
rnacentral:rRNA from 1 species